UACGGAGGGUGCGAGCGUUGUCCGGAAUCACUGGGCGUAAAGGGCGCGUAGGCGGCCUGAUAAGUAGGGGGUGAAAUCCUGCGGCUUAACCGCAGGGCUGCCUUCUAAACUGUCAGGCUCGAGCACAGUAGAGGCAGGUGGAAUUCCCGGUGUAGCGGUGGAAUGCGUAGAGAUCGGGAAGAACAUCAGCGGCGAAGGCGGCCUGCUGGGCUGUUGCUGACGCUGAGGCGCGACAGCGUGGGGAGCAAACAGG
rnacentral:rRNA from 1 species